rnacentral:rRNA from 1 species
UACGAAGGGGGCUAGCGUUGCUCGGAAUCACUGGGCGUAAAGCGCACGUAGGCGGCUUUCUAAGUCGGUGGUGAAAUCCUGGAGCUCAACUCCAGAACUGCCUCCGAUACUGGAAGGCUCGAGUCCGGGAGAGGUGAGUGGAACUGCGAGUGUAGAGGUGAAAUUCGUAGAUAUUCGCAAGAACACCAGUGGCGAAGGCGGCAUCCUGGACCGACAUUGACGCUGAUGAGCGAAAGCGUGGGGAGCAAACAGGG